rnacentral:rRNA from 1 species
UGGGGAAUCUUGGACAAUGGGCGAAAGCCUGAUCCAGCCAUGCCGCGUGAGUGAAGAAGGCCCUAGGGUUGUAAAGCUCUUUCAGCGGGGAAGAUAAUGACGGUACCCGCAGAAGAAGCCCCGGCCAACUCCGUGCCGGCAGCCGCGGUAAUACGGAGGGGGCUAGCGUUGUUCGGAAUUACUGGGCGUAAAGCGCGCGUAGGCGGGCUGGUCAGUUGGGGGUGAAAUCCCGGGGCUUAACCUCGGAACUGCCCUCAAUACUACCAGUCUAGAGAUCGAGAGAGGUAAGUGGAAUUCCUAGUGUAGAGGUGAAAUUCGUAGAUAUUAGGAAGAACACCAGUGGCGAAGGCGGCUUACUGGCUCGAUACUGACGCUGAGGCGCGAAAGCGUGGGGAGCAAACAGGAUUAGAUACCCCCGUAGUCC